UGUAGGCUGCAACCCGCCUGCAUGAAGUUGGAAUUGCUAGUAAUCGCGGAUCAGCAUGCCGCGGUGAAUACGUUCCCGGGGAUUGUACACACCGCCCGUCACACCAUGAGAGUCGGGAACACCCAAAGUCCGUAGUCUAACCGCAAGGAGGACGCGGCCUAAGGUGGGUUCGAUAAUUGGGUGAAGUCGUAACAAGGUAUC
rnacentral:rRNA from 1 species